GACGAACGCUGGCGGCGUGCUUAACACAUGCAAGUCGAGCGGUAAGGCCUUUCGGGGUACACGAGCGGCGAACGGGUGAGUAACACGUGGGUGACCUGCCCUGCACUUCGGGAUAAGCCUGGGAAACUGGGUCUAAUACCGGAUGGGACCAUUCCAUGCAUGUGGGGUGGUGGAAAGUCGGUGCUGUUGUGGUGUCGGCGGUGGGGGAUGGGCCCGCGGUCUAUCAGCUUGUUGGUGGGGUGAUGGCCUACCAAGGCGACGACGGAUAGCCGGCCUGAGAGGGUGAUCGGCCACACUGGGACUGAGACACGGCCCAGACUCCUAC
rnacentral:rRNA from 1 species